AGAGUUUGAUCCUGGCUCAGGACGAACGCUGGCGGCACGCUUAACACAUGCAAGUCGAACGAGAGAAGAGGAGCUUGCUUUUCUGAUCUAGUGGCGGACGGGUGAGUAACACGUGAGCAAUCUGCCUUUCAGAGGGGGAUACCGAUUGGAAACGAUCGUUAAUACCGCAUAACAUAAUUGAACCGCAUGAUUUGAUUAUCAAAGAUUUAUCGCUGAAAGAUGAGCUCGCGUCUGAUUAGCUAGUUGGUAAGGUAACGGCUUACCAAGGCGACGAUCAGUAGCCGGACUGAGAGGUUGAUCGGCCACAUUGGGACUGAGACACGGCCCAGACUCCUACGGGAGGCAGCAGUGGGGAAUAUUGCACAAUGGAGGAAACUCUGAUGCAGCGAUGCCGCGUGAGGGAAGAAGGUUUUAGGAUUGUAAACCUCUGUCUUCAGGGACGAAAAAAGACGGUACCUGAGGAGGAAGCUCCGGCUAACUACGUGCCAGCAGCCGCGGUAAUACGUAGGGAGCGAGCGUUGUCCGGAAUUACUGGGUGUAAAGGGAGCGUAGGCGGGAUCGCAAGUCAGAUGUGAAAACUAUGGGCUUAACCCAUAAACUGCAUUUGAAACUGUGGUUCUUGAGUGAAGUAGAGGUAAGCGGAAUUCCUAGUGUAGCGGUGAAAUGCGUAGAUAUUAGGAGGAACAUCAGUGGCGAAGGCGGCUUACUGGGCUUUAACUGACGCUGAGGCUCGAAAGCGUGGGGAGCAAACAGGAUUAGAUACCCUGGUAGUCCACGCCGUAAACGAUGAUUACUAGGUGUGGGGGGACUGACCCCUUCCGUGCCGCAGCAAACGCAAUAAGUAAUCCACCUGGGGAGUACGACCGCAAGGUUGAAACUCAAAGGAAUUGACGGGGGCCCGCACAAGCAGUGGAGUAUGUGGAUUAAUUCGAAGCAACGCGAAGAACCUUACCAGGUCUUGACAUCGUAUGCAUAGCUCAGAGAUGAGUGAAAUCUCUUCGGAGACAUAUAGACAGGUGGUGCAUGGUUGUCGUCAGCUCGUGUCGUGAGAUGUUGGGUUAAGUCCCGCAACGAGCGCAACCCUUACUGUUAGUUGCUACGCAAGAGCACUCUAGCAGGACUGCCGUUGACAAAACGGAGGAAGGUGGGGAUGACGUCAAAUCAUCAUGCCCCUUAUGACCUGGGCCUCACACGUACUACAAUGGCUGUCAACAGAGGGAAGCAAAGCCGCGAGGUGGAGCGAACCCCUAAAAGCAGUCUUAGUUCGGAUUGUAGGCUGCAACCCGCCUACAUGAAGUCGGAAUUGCUAGUAAUCGCAGAUCAGCAUGCUGCGGUGAAUAC
rnacentral:rRNA from 1 species